rnacentral:rRNA from 1 species
GACGAACGCUGGCGGCGUGCCUAAUACAUGCAAGUUGAGCGCUGAAGGCUGGUACUUGUACCAACUGGAUGAGCAGCGAACGGGUGAGUAACGCGUGGGGAAUCUGCCUUUGAGCGGGGGACAACAUUUGGAAACGAAUGCUAAUACCGCAUAAAAACUUUAAACACAAGUUUUAAGUGUGAAAGAUGCAAUUGCAUCACUCAAAGAUGAUCCCGCGUUGUAUUAGCUAGUUGGUGAGGUAAAGGCUCACCAAGGCGAUGAUACAUAGCCGACCUGAGAGGGUGGUCGGCCGCCCUGGGAGUGUGACACGGCCCAAACUCCUUCGGGAGGCAGCAGUAGGGAAUCUUCGGCCAUGGACGAAAGUCUGACCGAGCUACGCCGCGUGAGUGAAGAAGGUUGUCGGAUCGUAAAACUCGGUUGGUAGAGAAGAACGUUGGUGAGAGUGGAAAGCUCAUCAAGUGACGGUAACUACACAGAAAGGGACGGCUAACUACGUG